rnacentral:lncRNA from 1 species
GACAAAGACUGUAUGAAGCCAUUCUGCCACAGUAAGACAGACUUCUUUCCUUAAAAGUAAAGUUUACUAGAGCACAGCAAGUAGUUGUUACAUCAAACUGACGCUAAGAUUGAGUCAGAAGCAUUAUCGGAAGCCUCAACGUUACAGUAAACUGACUCUAAGAUUGAUCAGAAGCAUUAUCGGAAGCCUCAACGUCAUAUGCUUCAACACAGUCAGCAAGCAAGCUCUGACCUUACAGAGUAAAAGUAAGCAAAGCUGUACAGGGCUGUUGUCUUUUGGCAAACUUUGUGUGGUAACUGGUGGAGACAGUCCCCUGCACUCCUAGCUGCAUAUCUGCAUUAUGAAUAUCUGCAUUAUUUGGUCAUGUGUGUGUUUACCAAAUCAAGUGGGG